GUUGUUAAAAGUGUGGAUUGUUGAUGUUGAUUAUGAAGUUGAAAGAAGAAAAUGAAUUAUAAUAGUUUUGUUGCAUUUAUGGAAUUUUUGGGUGAAAUAUGGAAUUGAUGAAUAUUGGAUAGUUUACUUGGAAUAUUUUUCACUUAUGUUGGAAUGAGUUGAAAUUAAUUAGAACACGAAAUAUUCAUAUUUAUUUGGAAAUGCAAAGUUGGGUUGAAAGUUGUUGCACUAUUUGGAAAAGAAACCAAUUUAUGUUAUGAUGCAUUUUAAAUUGAUUGUUGAUGGUAUUGGUGUUGUUGUUGGCAUACUUGUUGAUAUUGUGGCCGAGUUGAAAUCUCGGGGUUGUCAUAUAUAUAGGGGAGAUGCUGUCGAAAUUUUUGUAGGCAAGUAUUGGUUAAGAUUGGAUUCUUAAAGUUUUAUGAAUAGUAAUUGGUAAAUGUGAUCAAUUGUAGAUUUUGGAGGAAACGGGAAUUGAAUUUGGACAACCGUAAAAGGUCGAUAAGGUACCGAAGUUCAAUUUGCUGAUCCACCUGUUUAGGAUAUUUGCUGCGUCGUUGACAGUGAUCCUUUGUUCGGAGCUUGUAUUUUGGUACUGACUUUAUCUCUGUAUAUUUAGAUAUGUUGGUCAGGGGUACGACGGGGCCCUGUCCCGUCAUAUUACUAUGCUAUCAUCUGUAGAGGUCUGUAGACAGAGUUAUGUUGUGGGUUUUGUAUAUAUGUUUUGGGUUGUGUGUGUUUCGUGACGGCCUAUCAGCCCUCGUGCCUACAUCUAUUUUUGUGAUCUAUUUAGCAAUCUUUUCUAAUCA